ensembl:lncRNA
CAUGCACACUGUUGCACAAACUGUAAAUAUGCCUUCAGCAGUAGUCGUUAUGACAUAGUGUUCUGUACACGUACUGUAGCUAGCAGAGAGAUCCACUGCAACCUAAAGACUGGACAUUGUUUCAAUUGGAAUGAAUUGAGGUGAUCGUACGGUGUUUUAUGUUAGUCACAUCCUCCUAUUCAGACCAGGUCAUAUCCUCCUAUUCAGACCAGGUCACAUCCUCCUAUUAAGACCAGGUCACAUCCUCCUAUUCAGACCAGGUCAUAUCCUCGGUUUAUUCAGUUUUUUAACCAUUCAAUUAUACUUAUUUAUUCUUGUCACAAUGAAAAGGAAUCUGUUUUCACUAGAAAGUGUUUAUUUUGAAAAAUGUCAUUAUUUUGGCAGCAGGUAGGUAAUGCAUUAUUAUUAUUAAUGUGUGUAUGUGUGUGUGUGUGUUUGUGUGCUGUAUGUAUGAUGGAUAUCUGCAUUAUAUACCCAACCCUGUUCCUCCAUCCAUUCCCUGUCUUCUGCUGUGUCCUGAAUACACCUCACACACACACACACACACAGAUGAACAUAAAAAGAUGAAUCAUUCAACAGCCUGCAGUCUAACAGCAUGCCUGUGUGUCUGACUGCCACACACUAUAUCAUAUAGCAUAUAUUCCAAUAUUAACUCACUUUCUUUAUAUUAUCCACACAAUGAGUUACUGUAGUAGAAAGGUGAAUAUAUUUUAGAAAUGGUACAAUUCAGUCACAUCCUAAAUUCAUAUUUAGUUUUUUUUGUUGCCAUCAAAUAUUUCACUAAUGCCCAGAUGUCUUUCAAGUAUUCGUGCACACAUGUUUACAGCUGUUAACGAGAGUUAUUCAGGGUACAUUGUUAUUGUUGUUUGUGAGGGUUCUAGAACAUGUUUACAGCUGUUAAUGAGAGUUCUUCAGGGUACAUUGUUAUUGUUGUUUGUGAGGGUUCUAGAACAUGUUUACAGCUGUUAACGAGAGUUAUUCAGGGUACAUUGUUAUUGUUGUCUGUGAGGGUUCUAGAACAUGUUUACAGCUGUUAAUGAGAGUUCUUCAGGGUACAUUGUUAUUGUUGUUUGUGAGGGUUCUAGAACAUGUUUACAGCUGUUAACGAGAGUUAUUCAGGGUACAUUGUUAUUGUUGUAUGUGAGGGUUCUAGAACAUGUUUACAGCUGUUAAUGAGAGUUCUACAGGGUACAUUGUUAUUGUUGUCUGUGAGGGUUCUGGAACAUGUUUACAGCUGUUAAUGAGAGUUCUACAGGGUACAUUGUUAUUGUUGUCUGUGAGGGUUCUAGAACAUGUUUACAGCUGUUAACGAGAGUUCUUCAGGGUACAUUGUUAUUGUUGUCUGUGAGGGUUCUAGAACAUGUUUACAGCUGUUAACGAGAGUUCUACAGGGUACAUUGUUAUUGUUGUCUGUGAGGGUUCUAGAACAUGUUUACAGCUGUUAACGAGAGUUCUUCAGGGUACAUUGUUAUUGUUGUUUGUGAGGGUUCUAGAACAUGUUUACAGCUGUUAACGAGAGUUAUUCAGGGUACAUUGUUAUUGUUGUUUGUGAGGGUUCUAGAACAUGUUUACAGCUGUUAACGAGAGUUCUUCAGGGUACAUUGUUAUUGUUGUCUGUGAGGGUUCUAGAACAUGUUUACAGCUGUUAACGAGAGUUCUUCAGGGUACAUUGUUAUUGUUGUCUGUGAGGGUUCUAGAACAUGUUUACAGCUGUUAACGAGAGUUCUUCAGGGUACAUUGUUAUUGUUGUCUGUGAGGGUUCUGGAACAUGUUUACAGCUGUUAAUGAGAGUUCUACAGGGUACAUUGUUAUUGUUGUCUGUGAGGGUUCUAGAACAUGUUUACAACGAGAGUUCUACAGGGUACAUUGUUAUUGUUGUCUGUGAGGGUUCUAGAACAUGUUUACAGCUGUUAACGAGAGUUCUACAGGGUACAUUGUUAUUGUUGUU